rnacentral:lncRNA from 1 species
GGGGGCGGUGCAUCAGAGCGCAGGUGGCGCUGCGAGUUAACGUACUUGUCCUCUCAGAGGUGAUUUGAGAUAAUUUAGUAAUAAUAGCUUGGUAAUGAUGUUUUUAUAACUGGGCUGGAGAAAGUCCCUUGGUAUCAGUAGCAAGAUACGGUUGUCGCUCCUAGGCUCUGUUUCUCUGGCGUUGGCGUUCUCGUAUGCGCUCUGAAAUCUGUGACGUUCCGUCCCUGAAGUUUUUUAGGGAAGGUCUGUUCUCUAGGUAGUUUUCUGUUUGUGCUCUUCAGAAUAAAGCUGAGUUUUGAAUCAAAGCUAUAUUCUCUUCUUGCAUGAUUCUUAGUCGUUCUGAUCGUGGCUAUCCUAAAUUUGGUAUGUUAUAAUUCAGUCAUGUGUUACUUCCACAUGCCUUAUCUGUACUGUUUUAUUAGCUUAAACUAGUAAAUACGAGUAGCUUUAUCUGUUACUGUGAGAGCCUGGUUUCUCUGAACUAGCUUCCUGGAAAUCUCUUGUUUCCCAGCUCAGGUCUGAUGAUAAACAAGGUCUUCCACGUCAUGGGGACUCCCCAGUGCAGUCUGCACACCUAAAUAUGCCUGCUCCGAGUAAGGAGACUUCCCUCUUUAAGGUGAUUCAGAGCCUGUUAAAGUCAACAGGAGACCUUCCAAUGACUUCAGUGAAAAUUAGAAUAAAAUACAGACAUUAAGGUAAGUCACAUACUAGUAAUUCCCAAAAUAUUUCCUAUCAUGGGUGAGUGAGACAGAAUC